rnacentral:rRNA from 1 species
UGGGAGCUUGCUCCCUGAUGUUAGCGGCGGACGGGUGAGUAACACGUGGGUAACCUGCCUGUAAGACUGGGAUAACUCCGGGAAACCGGGGCUAAUACCGGAUGGUUGUUUGAACCGCAUGGUUCAGACAUAAAAGGUGGCUUCGGCUACCACUUACAGAUGGACCCGCGGCGCAUUAGCUAGUUGGUGAGGUAACGGCUCACCAAGGCAACGAUGCGUAGCCGACCUGAGAGGGUGAUCGGCCACACUGGGACUGAGACACGGCCCAGACUCCUACGGGAGGCAGCAGUAGGGAAUCUUCCGCAAUGGACGAAAGUCUGACGGAGCAACGCCGCGUGAGUGAUGAAGGUUUUCGGAUCGUAAAGCUCUGUUGUUAGGGAAGAACAAGUGCCGUUCAAAUAGGGCGGCACCUUGACGGUACCUAACCAGAAAGCCACGGCUAACUACGUGCCAGCAGCCGCGGUAAUACGUAGGUGGCAAGCGUUGUCCGGAAUUAUUGGGCGUAAAGGGCUCGCAGGCGGUUUCUUAAGUCUGAUGUGAAAGCCCCCGGCUCAACCGGGGAGGGUCAUUGGAAACUGGGGAACUUGAGUGCAGAAGAGGAGAGUGGAAUUCCACGUGUAGCGGUGAAAUGCGUAGAGAUGUGGAGGAACACCAGUGGCGAAGGCGACUCUCUGGUCUGUAACUGACGCUGAGGAGCGAAAGCGUGGGGAGCGAACAGGAUUAGAUACCCUGGUAGUCCACGCCGUAAACGAUGAGUGCU